rnacentral:rRNA from 1 species
AGAGUUUGAUCAUGGCUCAGAACGUACGCUGGCGGCACGCCUAACACAUGCAAGUCGAACGCAGUAGCAAUACUGAGUGGCAGACGGGUGAGUAACAUGUGGGAAUCUGCCUUGUGGUUCAGGACAACAUUGGGAAACCGAUGCUAAUACCGGAUAAGCUCGAGAGAGGAAAGGUUUACCGCCUUGGGAGCAGCCCGCGUUAGAUUAGGUAGUUGGUGGGGUAAAGGCCUACCAAGCCUACGAUCUAUAGCUGGUCUGAGAGGAUGAUCAGCCACACUGGGACUGAGACACGGCCCAGACUCCUACGGGAGGCAGCAGUGGGGAAUAUUGGACAAUGGGGGAAACCCUGAUCCAGCAAUGCCGCGUGAGUGAUGAAGGCCUUCGGGUUGUAAAGCUCUUUUACCUGCGAUGAUAAUGACAGUAGCAGGAGAAUAAGCCCCGGCUAACUACGUG